UAUGGCAGGAGAGAAUAGCUAUCUUGGAGAAGCUGAGGAGUAUAUGAAAGCUCUUUUUCACAAAGCUAAUGAAAAGGAGAAUUUGUGUAAAAGUCAUGAAACACACCUCUCUGAGCAAAAAAAGGAGAUUAAGCAACUCACUCAGAAGCUAAAAGAACUUGAAGA